UUGGAGGGCAAGUCUGGUGCCAGCAGCCGCGGUAAUUCCAGCUCCAAUAGCGUAUAUUAAAGUUGUUGCAGUUAAAAAGCUCGUAGUUGAAUUUCGGGAUCAAUAUUUCGGUCAUGCCGUUGGUAUGCACUGUUAUCAUUGAUUUCUCACCUUCUAAAGAACCGUAAUGCCAUUAAUUUGGUGUUACGGGGAAUUAGGACUGUUACCUUGAAAAAAUUAGAGUGUUUAAAGCAGGCUCACGCCUGAAUACAUUAGCAUGGAAUAAUGAAAUAGGACAUCCGAUUCUAUUUUGUUGGUUUCUAGGAUCGAUGUAAUGAUUAAUAGGGAUAGUUGGGGGCAUUAGUAUUCAAUUGUCAGAGGUGAAAUUCUUGGAUUUAUUGAAGACUAACUACUGCGAAAGCAUUUGCCAAGGAUGUUUUCAUUAAUCAAGAACGAAAGUUAGGGGAUCGAAGACGAUCAGAUACCGUCGUAGUCUUAACCAUAAACUAUGCCGACUAGGGAUCGGAUGAUGUUAAUUUUUUAAUGACUCAUUCGGCGCCUUACGGGAAAC
rnacentral:rRNA from 2 species